AUUAGAUUAAAAACCAAUGCCCUUCGGGGCUCUCUGGUGAUUCAUGAUAACUUCUCGAAUCGCAUGGCCUUGCGCCGGCGAUGGUUCAUUCAAAUUUCUUCCCUAUCAACUUUCGAUGUUUGGGUAUUGGCCAAACAUGGUUGCAACGGGUAACGGAGGGUUAGGGCUCGACCCCGGAGAAGGAGCCUGAGAAACGGCUACUACAUCCAAGGAAGGCAGCAGGCGCGCAAAUUACCCAAUCCCGACUCGGGGAGGUAGUGACAAUAAAUACUGAUACAGGGUUCUUUCGGAUCUUGUAAUUGGAAUGAGUACAAUUUAAAUCCCUUAACGAGGAACAAUUGGAGGGCAAGUCUGGUGCCAGCAGCCGCGGUAAUUCCAGCUCCAAUAGCGUAUAUUAAAGUUGUUGUGGUUAAAAAGCUCGUAGUCGAACCUUGGGCCUGGCUGGCCGGUCCGCCUCACCGCGUGUACUGGUCCGGCCGGGCCUUUCCCUCUGUGGAACCCUAUGCCCUUCACUGGG
rnacentral:rRNA from 1 species